GCUUGCUAAGACUGAUGGCGACCGGCGCACGGGUGAGUAACACGUAUCCAACCUGCCGUCUACUCUUGGACAGCCUUCUGAAAGGAAGAUUAAUACAAGAUGGCAUCAUGAGUCCGCAUGUUCACAUGAUUAAAGGUAUUCCGGUAGACGAUGGGGAUGCGUUCCAUUAGAUAGUAGGCGGGGUAACGGCCCACCUAGUCUUCGAUGGAUAGGGGUUCUGAGAGGAAGGUCCCCCACAUUGGAACUGAGACACGGUCCAAACUCCUACGGGAGGCAGCAGUGAGGAAUAUUGGUCAAUGGGCGAGAGCCUGAACCAGCCAAGUAGCGUGAAGGAUGACUGCCCUAUGGGUUGUAAACUUCUUUUAUAAAGGAAUAAAGUCGGGUAUGUAUACCCGUUUGCAUGUACUUUAUGAAUAAGGAUCGGCUAACUCCGUGCCAGCAGCCGCGGUAAUACGGAGGAUCCGAGCGUUAUCCGGAUUUAUUGGGUUUAAAGGGAGCGUAGAUGGAUGUUUAAGUCAGUUGUGAAAGUUUGCGGCUCAACCGUAAAAUUGCAGUUGAUACUGGAUAUCUUGAGUGCAGUUGAGGCAGGCGGAAUUCGUGGUGUAGCGGUGAAAUGCUUAGAUAUCACGAAGAACUCCGAUUGCGAA
rnacentral:rRNA from 1 species